rnacentral:misc_RNA from 1 species
AACGGUCUAUACCUGCGGUACCUGCGGAAGGAUCAUUACUGAGGAGGGUCCAUGGCCCGAUCUCCAACCCUUUGAUAAAAACACCAUGUUGCUUUGGCAGGCCCGCCCGUUGGGGCCGCGGGGGAUCGCCGGUCCCUAGCCCGUGCCUGCCGGUAGCCUUCACAAAACUCUCAAAAUGUUGUCGUCUGAGAUGAUUAGAAUAAUAAAACUUUUAACAACGGAUCUCUAGAUCGGAAGAGC